rnacentral:lncRNA from 1 species
GCACUAUGUAAGAGAAAGACCGGAAGUGGCCUGCUGUAACGACCCGGAAAUCAGUACCCCUCAGUAACGGUCCGAACCAUCACUGGCACUAGGAUCCAGAUCGGCUUAAGGCCGCCGGGACCCGUAGCAAGUCGACUAUACUCUCUGUGUACCUGAUACAUCCCAGACAUGAUACAUAUAGACUCAACAAUCCUGUAAAACUUUGUAGGCUUAACUGCUGCUACUCAGAUAUGUCAAUCUGAACUGGCCCUCAGGGCCUAUACCAGGGACUACUAUCUGCUGUGGGUCAUGGGAAUGAAACCCUUUUAAUCUGUAACACAUUCCACUGGUAUCUCAUCAAAGCCAUACAUUAAGCCUAACUCACACAUUUCUCAUCAAGAAACGUAAAACAGGAUUUAUGGACAGGGGAGUAAGCAUACAUCACACAACAGCAAAAACACUAGGGAAAGCACAAGUCUAUCCGUAUAUGACAGUACAGAUCUAUACAUUACAUGACAGUUAAUCUUUUAAUUACAUCAUGUCCACUACACUAUUACAGCAUACAUUCAAGCACAACUUUCCUCUGUACUCUUGCUGACUUUGAUUUCCCAUAGCUAUCUCAGGACCUGCAAAACUGGGGGUAAGGGAGUGGGAUGAGCUCUAGAGCCCAGUAAGGAGGAACAGUAAAACAGUUCAUUAAUUACAUGCUUUCAUGAAAUGCAUCACAUCACAAACAUAUCAUCUCAAGGAUGAACUUGUCACCAAUAGCCCUCAACUACAUGUGAUACUCUGACCAACUGUGCCAGGGAGACGAUGUCAUCACCUGGUCUUCUCUUACCUUCGCUCUGUGCUCUGACUAUAGUACCAGGAGCGACCUGGCCUAUCCAGGGGCGACCUGGUAUGGCUAUCUCAUGCCAUAACUCUGUAUCUGCUCUCUGUCAUGGGCUAAGGAUCAUCCAACAUUCAUCCACAGGAACAACAUCUUAUGCAAUGCAUCAUAUUCGUGAAUUCUAAUGCAACACAACCUAAGAUAUAACAUGGCAGUGUAUGAUGCAUGGAGCAUGCUAGAAUCGUGUCAUUUCUCCUCAAAUAAAAUAGGAAGUUUAGUUCCACUCACCUAUAGCCACUGCUUGGCUAACUCUGGGCUACCUCUAACUCUGCAAUAGUUACGAUUGCUAAACACCUCGGUUCCUCGGGUCCAAUCCUACAAUGGAGGACGCAAAUGAGGCACCACACAUACUCUAUGCAACUGAUAAAACAAUUCCCAAAAACCCCUCUCGAACACCUCAAAACAUGCAUGCAAAACAAGCAAAGGAAGGCUGGACAGGGCACCUUCGGCAGCACCUUCGGCGGCCGAAUGUCUCCUCCAGAGACGAAAGUCAGGCAUGUUCGGCGGCCUAACUUGGACUUUCGGCGGCCGAACCUGAGUUCAUCCAGAACUCAGUUUCGUGCACAAGGAUGCCUGCCAGUCCCUCCAGCACCUGCUCAGCCCUCAAUACAUGUAGUUAACCCCUCUAACACAUGCAUAAACACUUCAACAAGCAGAAAGGAGCGUCAAACUACUUAAACCCAACAAAACAAUACACAUAACAUGCUUACACCAUUCACCCAUCAAAACUACACCUAAUCAUGUAUAACCCAUGAAAACACUAAAACAACCUAUAUACGCAACUCUACCCUUAUCCUCUGUACAAACCUGUUAAACAAGAAGAGGAACAACUCUCUUACCUCCUGAAACUAGAAGAGGAACAACUUGACCUCAGCAAAUCCCCUUCACAAGCUUCAAACCACCAAAACCUCUCUUUUCUCUCCAACCCUUCAAAACGCUUUGAAACACACUCAACCCUCUGCACGAGCUGAUAAAAGCUUGCAGAUGAGUCAAGGGAGACGUGGCCUAACCUCUGGUCAUGAUCUGGAGGUGAACACCUGGCCAAACCACGGACUGAGGAGCGUGCACAACUAACCGACCACCUCAGCUUCGGUUGCCGAAACUGCAUGCAAAACCAUGCAACUUUCGGGGGCCGAACAUUGGGCACUUUCGGCGGCCGAACUUACCUUCGGCAGCCGAACCUGGCCUAUGUCCCCAAAGCCUUUUCUCUUCAAAACUCAAUCAUUUUUCAUUCUAACCCUUUCACAUACUUAAAAAUAUUUCAGAAACCCUUUCUCUUCCCCUUCUAGAAACCUCUGACAUUCUCGAAUUCCACCGGACGGUAGAAAUUCCGAUGUCUGAAUUUUCCGGGUAUUACACCUGCACUACGCCCCCGGCACUAUUGGAUAUGUUAUGUUAUGUUAUGUGUAAGAGAAAGACCAGAUGUGGCCUGCACUACGCCCCUGGCACUAUUGGAUUCAGUAGUGGGCUAUUGGUGACAAGUUCAUCCUUGACGUGAAUUGAUUGUGAUAUGUUGCAUUUCAUGAAAGCAUGAAAAAUAAAUUGAAUGUUAUAUUAUUCUGCUCACUGGGCUCUUGUAG